AACGGGGGGGCAAGUGUUACUCAUCAUAACUGGGCGUAAAGGGCGAGCAGACGGUUGCCAUAAGUUUAAGGUUAAAAUUCUACAUAUCAAGGAGAAACCUUUUAAACCGGCAGGAGCUACGGCCAUUUUGGGUAAUAAUUUUCAAAAUUCUAGAGUACAAGAGAGGAUAGCGGUACUCCUAGUGGAGGGGUAGAAUCUUGCCAUACUGGAGGGACACCAAUUGGCGAAAGCGGCUAUCUGGUUUGUUACUGACGUUCAUAAGCGAAGCGUGGGAGCAACAGG
rnacentral:rRNA from 1 species